CACAGGAAGGAAGGCUAGAAGGCCUGGGUGCCCUCCGGCCGGUAUUCCAUCCUCGCAUGGAGUGCGAGAGCCGACCCUUUGUUAGUUGAGUAUGACCAGAUAAGACUGGUCCAGUGGUUACGUCUUUCUCCUGCCCCGUGAGACAGGACACAGCAAGAAAUCAUCAUUUAUAAAGCAGAGAGACUAUAUUGGACACAGAAUCUGCUGCUGCCUUCAUUUUUGACUUUCCAGUCUCUAGCACUUGGGAGGUGGAAGAGACAGCUGUGAAGACCUCAGGACCCAUCUCACCCAACAUGCUCACUGACCGACG